CUGGAAUGAUGUGACUUAGCCAAAUCGGAUAUUCAUGUGCUCCAUGUGGCAACAAACAUAUUUUUAAAGCUUGCUCUCAUAGUAAAACUAAAGCAUGUGGCAAGCUUUGAUUGAUGUUGAUGACCCUCAUGUUGAAGCGCAUUUCCCUGAUGAUAAACAAGGAGAUUGGUUGUUUCCUGACCAGA
rfam:Glycine soja cultivar W05 scaffold1357_52, whole genome shotgun sequence.